rnacentral:rRNA from 1 species
UCGCAAGACCAAAGAGGGGGACCUUCGGGCCUCUUGCCAUCGGAUGUGCCCAGAUGGGAUUAGCUAGUAGGUGGGGUAACGGCUCACCUAGGCGACGAUCCCUAGCUGGUCUGAGAGGAUGACCAGCCACACUGGAACUGAGACACGGUCCAGACUCCUACGGGAGGCAGCAGUGGGGAAUAUUGCACAAUGGGCGCAAGCCUGAUGCAGCCAUGCCGCGUGUAUGAAGAAGGCCUUCGGGUUGUAAAGUACUUCCAGCGGGGAGGAAGGNGAUGCGGUUAAUAACCUGGUCNAUUGACGUUACCCGCAGAAGAAGCACCGGCUAACUCCGUGCCAGCAGCCGCGGUAAUACGGAGGGUG